ensembl:lncRNA
GACGGGUUAGCCGAGGAGGGUUUUAUUUGUCCUGGUGUUGCUGUGGAGGUGCUGCAAGUGACAGUAAUGACCUCCAGAUGAGUUGGUCUGUGCCGAGGUCAUUUCAGGGAGCCGGAGUCCACAUGUGUACAGGCUGUCCCAGAACCACAACAUGUCCCUGAACCAGUGAAGAUACCAGAAGCUGAGCCAGAAGCAGCAGAAGAUCCAGAGGACAGAGAAGCAGUCACAGCACCAGAACCUGUGGCACAACCAAAAAAAGUGCCAGAGACAAGAGCAGAACGACCACCGGCGCCAGAAGCAGUCCCUGAACCAACAAAAGAGCCAAAGUCUGUUCCAGAACCAGUCACAGUAUCAGAACUUGUCUCUGAAGCUGUGUCAGGCCCAGAACCUGUUCUUGAACCAGAUGAAGCACAAGAAGCAGCACCAGUGUCUGAACCCAUACCAGGCUUGGUAUCAGGCCCAGAACAAGCUGCAGAACCUACCCCAGAGUCCAAACCUGUAGCAGAGCCCUUAUCAGAACCAGCCAGGUCCCCUGAACUCAUAUCUGAACCCAAAACUGUCCCAGAACCUGUUACUGAUCCAGAGCCUGUGCUCGUGUCUGAAGUGGCAGCCCAGAAGCCCGCGACUGAACCUGAAGAACUGCUUGAGCAGAUGCCCGGACCCAAUGAAGGUCUGACAGAACCAUCGCGUGAGCGGGAACCCGAACCAGAGACCGUCCUGGAUGACGAUGUGGCUGCAGCUGCUGAUGUGCUGAACUUCACCCCGGGAAUGAAACAGAGUAAGGUGGCGGUGCUGAUGACCCAGGAGGACAUGGAGGAGGAGCAGAGCUGAUCCGUGAGGAUGAGGAGCGCUGAAGAGAUGGAGAUCAGACCCUGCAGAAAGUCCUGCCUGCUUUCUUCUCUUGUUGUUGAGUUUUGAGGUUUGAGCUGCUUGUGAAAAGUAAACAUCUUCACACCAAAGUGCCUUCAGGAGUUUCUUUACUGUCUGCUUUUCGUGUCCAGCCUUUCUGAAGCAAACAAAUUAAUUAUGUGAGUGAAUGUUAAUGAAGUUAACCUCAGUAUAACCUAGUUCUCACUGCUGGUUUCAAAUGAAAAAAGACAAUUAGACGACAAGCUGCAAUAAAACGUUCCUGCUAGCUUCAGUGUUCAGUUGUGAUUUUAAAUGUUAACCAUGAAAUAAAAGUGUGAAACAUGUUGUUGAUUCUUUCUGAUCUUUGUUUUGUAAAUUCUGGAUUAUUAAAAAUACUUUUGCCCAUUCUCA